AUGACAAAGAUGGGACGCUUUUGCACUGGAUAUUGCAAAUUGUAUGUGUUUAUUUUCCUAUAUUUCCCUGUUCUUCUCUGUGUAGGGCUGUGUAGAAGUGAACACAGGAUGUUCACAUCUGUGAAGGCAACAGAAACGUCAUUCCAAAUUGCAAUGGAGACAGAGAGCAUCCGGUCGGGCGGAUUCUUUACCAAGCUGAGUCACCAGGGAAGCCGGAAGAAGGACCAGCUGGUCUGUUUAUCAGUGACAGAAGACAGGAGGAGGAGAGAACCGUUUCUGAGUGAGGCAAUCAAAUCUGUCUUGGUCGCUUCAUGGCCGGAAGGCCCUUGGAUAGCAAGCCUGGAGUGUGGGAAAUGCUGUCUCCUCACAGGAUGGAUGCCGUCAGUUUCCUGCUGCCUAAAGAUCCUGAUGCUGGGCAAGACUGAGCGCAAGAGAAGGGGACGACAGAGGAUGAGAUGGUUGGAUGGCAUCACUGACUCGGUGGACAUGAGUUUGAGCAAGCUCCAGGAGAUAGUGAAGGACAGUUGGCGUGAGUGACUUGGUCAGUUCAUGGUGUCGCAAAGCGUCAGACAUGACUUAGUGAUUGAACAACAACAGCAAUGACUAAAGAUGCUGAACAUUUUUCUCUUGUGAUUAUAUGCCAUUCUUAUCUGUUCUUGGGUGAAGUGCACUUGUACUUGAUGAGUGACUAUAUUUAUACAUGUAGAAUGACAUUUGUGUUGAUAGGAAUUUUUUAGUGUUAAGUGAAAUAAUCAUGUGAAUUAUUUUUCUUUUUUUUUUUUUAAAGCCCCA
rnacentral:lncRNA from 1 species